UUGAUAAUCGCUUUGAUGCAUCUGUUCGGUUAGCAACCUUUCUCGUGUUGGGCGAUCAUUUGACUGGACCCGAACUCGGGAGGUCGGGCUAUCAGAACUCGUCGUCGGCCUCCUGCGGUUUGAGGAAAUUAUCGGUGAAAUUUGGCGAGAUGAAUUAUUUUUAUUAGUAACAGAGAUUCGAUUUGGCUGAAGUCGGAAUUGAAUCUCAUGUUCCGUUUCUAGUUACGAUCUGGUAAGGUCGAUGUCAUCUUGAUGGGAUGGUUCGUUUGUUGCGAUAUUUGACACCAUAUGAGAUGGAUCCACUUUCGUGCUAACAAGCCUUAGAUCGAGUUCCUAGCAAGGAUGUUUUUCGUUUCUCUUCCCACAGCCGGCGUCAAAAUGUAGAUAUUAAAAUCUACACUAAGAAUUUGAUAGUGAUCGGGAGUUCAAUCUAGGGAAGAAAUAACGUGGGCAACGAUAUCCUCAUAACACAAUGAUAUAAUCAGGUCUG
rnacentral:lncRNA from 1 species